UACGUAGGGGGCAAGCGUUGUCCGGAUUUAUUGGGCGUAAAGAGCGUGUAGGCGGCUUCACAGGUCCGCUGUGAAAACUCGAGGCUCAACCUCGAGAUGUCGGUGGAAACCGUGUGGCUAGAGUCCGGAAGAGGAGAGUGGAAUUCCCCGGUGUAGCGGUGAAAUGCGCAGAUAUCGGGAAGAACACCCGUGGCGAAGGCGGCUCUCUGGGACGGUACUGACGCUGAGACGCGAAAGCGUGGGGAGCGAACAGG
rnacentral:rRNA from 1 species